GCGACUGUAGCUCAGUUGGUUAGAGCGCCGGUUUGUGGUACCGGAGGUCGCGGGUUCAAGCCCCGUCAGUCGCC
rnacentral:tRNA from 1 species